rnacentral:rRNA from 1 species
CAAGAUUAAGCCAUGCAUGUCUAAGUAUAAGCAAUUAUACCGUGAAACUGCGAAUGGCUCAUUAAAUCAGUUAUCGUUUAUUUGAUAGUACCUUACUACAUGGAUAACCGUGGUAAUUCUAGAGCUAAUACAUGCUAAAAACCCCAACUUCGGGAGGGGUGUAUUUAUUAGAUAAAAAACCAAUGCCCUUCGGGGCUCUUUGGUGAUUCAUAGUAACUUAACGGAUCGCAUGGCCUUGCGCCGGCGACGGUUCAUUCAAAUUUCUGCCCUAUCAACUUUCGAUGGUAAGGUAUUGGCUUACCAUGGUUUCAACGGGUAACGGGGAAUUAGGGUUCGAUUCCGGAGAGGGAGCCUGAGAAACGGCUACCACAUCCAAGGAAGGCAGCAGGCGCGCAAAUUACCCAAUCCCGACACGGGGAGGUAGUGACAAUAAAUACUGAUACAGGGCUCUUUUGGGUCUUGUAAUCGGAAUGAGUACAAUUUAAACCCCUUAACGAGGAACAAUUGGAGGGCAAGUCUGGUGCCAGCAGCCGCGGUAAUUCCAGCUCCAAUAGCGUAUAUUAAAGUUGUUGCAGUUAAAAAGCUCGUAGUUGAACCUUGGGCCUGGCUGGCCGGUCCGCCUCACCGCGUGUACUGGUCCGGCCGGGCCUUUCCUUCUGGAGAACCCCAUGCCCUUCACUGGGUGUGCGGGGGAACCAGGACUUUUACUGUGAAAAAAUUAGAGUGUUCAAAGCAGGCCUUUGCUCGAAUACGUUAGCAUGGAAUAAUAGAAUAGGACGUGCGGUUCUAUUUUGUUGGUUUCUAGGACCGCCGUAAUGAUUAAUAGGGAUAGUCGGGGGCAUCAGUAUUCAAUUGUCAGAGGUGAAAUUCUUGGAUUUAUUGAAGACUAACUACUGCGAAAGCAUUUGCCAAGGAUGUUUUCAUUAAUCAGUGAACGAAAGUUAGGGGAUCGAAGACGAUCAGAUACCGUCGUAGUCUUAACCGUAAACUAUGCCGACUAGGGAUCGGGCGAUGUUUCUAUCUUGACUCGCUCGGCACCUUACGAGAAAUCAAAGUUUUUGGGUUCUGGGGGGAGUAUGGUCGCAAGGCUGAAACUUAAGAA